UGGAAGUCUGAAAGAAGCACAAGGUUAAAAUUUUGAGUUGUUAAUUUUUAGACUGUGCUGCGAAUGAGGGAGAAAAUGCAAAGUGCUGUGAGAGGAGAGCACAAAUGAGGUCAAUGGGUCCCAACAGCACCCAGGCCGGAAGCACUGUCUCCUGGAGUCCAGAGAAUCCUGGAGAAGGAACACUCGGUGGUGGUGGGCAGAUCUUCCCAAACAAGUACGAGCAGCUGGAAAGAAAGCGCUACACAUAGCAUUUUGAACAGUGUCCUUUGCUUUCCCUGUACAACUCUUAAUUAAUGUCUCUCUGCAAAACAGCAGCCUUCCUGCCACGGCACGCAGCAGCCCUCAGAUGAGGAGGGCAUGUCUUCCUUCCGAUGUCUUCCCCUCACCUCUCCACCCCAGGUGGGAGCAGAUGGACCAGAGGCAAAAUCACUUGUUUAUUUCAGCUCCUGCUGGGAUCCGGCCAAGUGGGAGAGGUUAGCCAAGAGGGGAGAAGUCUUGCGGCUUUUGGAGCUUAAUUAAACGUUUUUACGAAGUCCAGCCCUGCUUAACUAGCAAUGCACAAGGAGACAGAAGCGGGUCCUGCGCAGAUUAAUAAACCAAUUACGGAAUGACUGCAGCAGCCUGGUGGCCUCACUGGCGCAGGAGGAGAGUUUGACAGCUGCUUUUUCCUGAUGAUUGCCACAGAUUUCAGAAGUGAGGACAGCCUGGGCUUUCCUCAUUCCGUAAGAGAAUACCCCAGGCUGUUGUCCUGUCUAAUGCCUCACACUGCUAGUCAAGUUGUUCUCCAAGCCUGGGGAGCGGAUGUCAUGUUUAGCCAACUGGGAAGAAAAGGAAACAAAAGCUAUUUCUCCCCUUCUGAUCAGAAACAAAAACAAAACAAAGAAGCACACCAGGGUAAAUCUACUUAUUUCUACCGGGGAUGCACCCUUACCGGGAGCUGUAGAAGAGGGGAGGUGGGACAUUCUGGGGGUCCCAGCAGGCAAUCCACAGAGAAGCCCCCAGGGACCCACCUCCCAUGGGGUGGCCUGUCUUUUAUCUCUGUCCAUCAGGGUGAGCGCCUGCUCUGUUUCUUCCAGAAUGGAGUCAGUGUCUGGAAUUUGCAUGCUGUACCUUUAGUUUAAAUGCCUCUCUCUGCCCACUGCCUAUUGCACAAUUCAUAAGAACAGGGUCCAGUGAAGACCCUGCCCUGCCAAGGCAGCAGAAGCAUCUGCCCUCCUCAGGGGGCAGCGUAUGGAGUCUGCUGUGCUUUCCUCUCGACCCGUGCUGUGGUCUUGCUCCAUUGUACAGCCCGGCCCUGCUCAAAACCAAGAGUGAGGUGGCGGGAAUCAGGUGUCCACACUUAGGAACCCUCAUCUCCAGUGAGAUUCCAAACUGCACGCUAGGUCUUCCUGCUUCCUGGCUGUACCAGUCCGGGGCUCGGGGCCAUGGUGCACCUGCAGCCGUCCCAGCGUGGGGUCAGCAGCUGUUGGGCUGCUCCAGUUCGGGUCUGGGGGGACACAGAAGGUCACAUCGCUUUGGAAACUCUGGCCCACAGCAUCCUGCUUUUCUCUUGGAGAAAGCAAAGCUCCUAAGGAACAGAAUGGGAGGGACAAGGAGAAAAACCGCUGCUCCGCAGGACUCCGAGGGCUGACCUAGUCCCCAGGUCCCUGUCACCAUCCUUUGUGUUGCUCCUCUGUUUCUGAAGAUCCCCCACAUCCACACAGCUCUCCCAGCAUCUCCAAGGUGUCAAAGCAAUGCAUUCCUCCACAAGAGGAGGACUUGGAGAGGAGGUCCUUACCCCCAAGUGUUAACCCCUGCUGCCUGUGGCCCUCACCCUGUCUGACUGGAGAUGAUGCAGAGGGCCUAGCUGUGGCCUUAACUGAAGCCUGGCGCGUGUCUCAGUGAGGAGGUACACCCGAGGUGACUGCUCAAGCCCACCCUGAGGAAGCAUGAAGGUGAUGAAGCGUUUAGGACUUGACCUCCCACAUCUUUGAUGCCUCUUGGGUCACUGUGUGGAGCCCGCGCCCCUCUCCCUGAGGCUGUGACUAUGCAGCUCUGGGCCUUGGAAGAGGCAGCUGCCGCUGUCCCUUCUGUCAGGGACACCCGCUCUGGGAACUGCCCCCCGCCCCCGGGAAAGCAAGCAGGUGCGUGGACAGCUGCUUACAGUGUGCGCAGAGGUAAGCCAGCCCUCGAGCCCCGCCCACUCCGCACAGUACAUGCUUGCUGCCCUGUGCAACCCUGAAUUGGGGGUGGGUUUUUAGAAAGCAGAGUUCAGAUCGAGGCAGGCUGUCAGCCUUCAGAGCCAGCCUUCAGUAUCAGCGGGUUGCGCCUCUGUGAAGCCAGGUGGCCUGACCUGACUCAUGCAUGGCACAGGCAGUGACUCGGAAUAUUUGGUGAACGCAUGAAUGACUGAAUGAGAAUCAUGAGAACGGAAUCUUUGCCUUAGUCCUGAGACCUAGUAGUCUUCCUCCAGGACCCUAGUUCAGCAUUCUUCGAUAAACCUUGAUUUUAACAGUGGUACCCAUUUUUCAAACAUAAUCUGAGCAGGUUACAUAUUUUUGAAAAUGUGUAAAGGAGCCGAGCAUGGAGCAUGUCUGUGGACUGAGGGGCCGGAGCCUGUUCUGCCGGCCUGGCUUCCUGCCCUCCUCCCAAGGCCUGGAACUCGGUUUGGUGGGGUGCUCCAGCAGCUUGGCUCACCUGUUGACCCUUGCUAGGGUCCUGCUUUCCUUUCAUCCUACCCACAGGCAGUGCUGGGACUCGGUCUAAGGAUCAGCAGAGUCCUGUGCUCUGGGGAAUGAA